UACGUAGGGUGCAAGCGUUGUCCGGAAUUAUUGUGCGUAAAGAGCUCGUAGGCGGUCAGUCGCGUCUGCUGUGAAAACUCGGGGCUUAACUCCGGGCCUGCAGUGGGUACGGGCUGACUAGAGUGCGGUAGGGGAGACUGGAAUUCCUGGUGUAGCGGUGAAAUGCGCAGAUAUCAGGAGGAACACCGGUGGCGAAGGCGGGUCUCUGGGCCGUAACUGACGCUGAGGAGCGAAAGCGUGGGGAGCGAACAGG
rnacentral:rRNA from 1 species